UUUUAAUUUAAAAUAUUUUUUAAAUUUUAAGUGAUUCUACGUUGUUUUUAUUUUUAUUUUUAAAUCUACGUAGCAUGUUUUAUUUUUAAAUAUUUUUUUUAUUCAAAAAAUUAGAAAAAUAACAAUUUUAAUAAUAAUGUUUUAUAAAAAAUGUCAUAAAUUUUAAAAAUUAAAAAAAAGCAUGCAGUUAGUCACGUAGAAUUUAAUUUAUUUUAUUGAAUUCAAACAUACAGAAUCUAAAUAUUAUUAAAAAAAUC
rnacentral:lncRNA from 1 species